rnacentral:rRNA from 1 species
GAUGAACGCUGGCGGCGUGCCUAAUACAUGCAAGUCGAGCGAACAGACGAGGAGCUUGCUCCUCUGACGUUAGCCGCGGACGGGUGAGUAACACGUGGAUAACCUACCUAUAAGUCUGGGAUAACUUCGGGAAACCGGCGCUAAUACCGGAGAAUCUAUUGAACCGCAUGGUUCAAUAGUGAAAGACGGUUUUGGUGUCACUUAUAGCUGGUUCCGCGCUGCAUUAGCUAGUUGGUAAGGUAACGGCUUACCAAGGCGACGAUGCGUAGCCGACCUGAGAGAGUGAUCGGCCACACUGGAACUGAGACGCGGUCCAGACUCCUACGGGAGGCAGCAGUGGGGAAUCUGCCGCAGUGGGCGAAAGCCUGACGGAGCAACGCCGCGUGAGUGAUGAAGAUCUUCGGAUCGUAAAACUCUGUUAUUAGGGAAGAACAAAUGUGUAAGGAACUAUGCACGGCUUGACGGUACCUAAUCAGAAAGCCACGGCUAACUACGUG